UUGGGAUGCGGGAACUCCGUCUGCCUCAGCCACUCUCUGCCUGUCUCAGGACUUAAGUCACAUGGACCCCACCGCCACUCCACUUUCUCUCUCUUCUCCAGUGGAGGUGACUCCUCUUCCACACUGGGGCACGCUGCCCUCUCAGCCCUCAACUGAGAUCCAUGUCGCUCACACUGUCACUCUGGACCCCAGCAGAGCAGCGAGUGUGAAGACGGAGAGACCACUGGCAGCUCUGUUCUGCCGCGGGCCGGGCCUCUUGAUCUAGGCCAGUGAGUCACCCUGCUUGGCUGCACUCCCUGCCCCGCUCCCAUCCUCUCAGUCCUUUACUCUCUCCACCCCCAGCUCCAGGAACAACGCCCACCUGGGCUCCUACUCAGCUGACAGGAAUCUGGUUGGAGUUGUUGUGUCCCAGCCUUCCCAAGCUUCCAGGUGUCCCAGAAACCCAGGAAAUCGAGACUCAUGACUCCCAGAGAGGAUGGCGUCUAGAAGACACCAACCACCUACCAGACCAUGGGAAGGUCGCAGAAAUUCCUUAAGCGCUACUCUGCAGCCAGCCAUCCAUGCAGCGCCCCAACGGCUUUGAAAUGCAACAGAAACCAUCACCCCCAGACCGUGGGCUCCAUGCCAGUGGGCAAAGCACAGAGCCCCUUGAGGGCAGGGAGGACUGAAACUGCUUCCUGGGACUGUCACCAUCACCUAGCACCCCACACAGCAGAUGCUCAAUAAAUGUUGAUUGUGUGGGCAAAUGGAUGAACAAA